rnacentral:rRNA from 1 species
UACGUAGGGGGCAAGCGUUGUCCGGAUUUAUUGGGCGUAAAGAGCGUGUAGGCGGCUAGGUAGGUCCGUUGUGAAAACUCGAGGCUCAACCUCGAGACGCCGAUGGAAACCAUCUAGCUAGAGUCCGGAAGAGGAGAGUGGAAUUCCUGGUGUAGCGGUGAAAUGCGCAGAUAUCAGGAGGAACACCGGUGGCGAAGGCGGAUCUCUGGGCCUUACCUGACGCUGAGGCGCGAAAGCUAGGGGAGCGAACAGG